rnacentral:rRNA from 1 species
AGUGGACGCUGGCGGUAGGCCUAACACAUGCAAGUCGAACGGCAGCACAGUAAGAGCUUGCUCUUACGGGUGGCGAGUGGCGGACGGGUGAGGAAUACAUCGGAAUCUACUUUUUCGUGGGGGAUAACGUAGGGAAACUUACGCUAAUACCGCAUACGACCUACGGGUGAAAGCAGGGGAUCUUCGGACCUUGCGCGAUUGAAUGAGCCGAUGUCGGAUUAGCUAGUUGGCGGGGUAAAGGCCCACCAAGGCGACGAUCCGUAGCUGGUCUGAGAGGAUGAUCAGCCACACUGGAACUGAGACGCGGUCCAGACUCCUACGGGAGGCAGCAGUGGGGAAUAUUGGACAAUGGGCGCAAGCCUGAUCCAGCCAUACCGCGUGGGUGAAGAAGGCCUUCGGGUUGUAAAGCCCUUUUGUUGGGAAAGAAAAGCAGCAGGUUAAUACCCCGCUGUUCUGACGGUACCCAAAGAAUAAGCACCGGCUAACUUCGUG